rnacentral:tRNA from 1 species
CAGGACGUAGCUAAGACAGAUAAAGCAGCUCCCUUACACCGAGAAGUCGCCUGUGCAAAUCAGACCGCCCUGA